UACGUAGGUGGCAAGCGUUGUCCGGAUUUACUGGGCGUAAAGGGCGUGCAGGCGGUUUGUUUAGUCUAGGGUGAAAGCUCCCGGCUUAACUGGGAGAGGUCCUUGGAUACUGGCAAACUUGAGGGAGGCAGAGGAAAGUGGAAUUCCCGGUGUAGUGGUGAUAUGCGUAGAUAUCGGGAGGAACACCAGUGGCGAAGGCGGCUUUCUGGGCCUUACCUGACGCUGAGACGCGAAAGCGUGGGGAGCGAAC
rnacentral:rRNA from 2 species